GGAUAAAUGGUCGAGUGGUUUAAGGCGUUAGUUUUGAAAACUAAAGUACGUAGAGUACCAAGGGUUCGAAUCCCUUUUUAUCCU
rnacentral:tRNA from 1 species